rnacentral:lncRNA from 1 species
UGCAGGCCCCUUCUCUGAAGAUGCCUCUGGAGCUUGGUAAGAGGAGGCUGGUCUGUACAAGUUUAGUUGGGUGCCAGCUUCCCCUUCUCCUUUUAGCAAUUGUUCAUCUGAUUUUGUAUGUUCCCUUUCUGAUUCUUGUAGUCCUGACUAUUCUUCUAGCCAUAAAGUUGCUGCUUUACCUUCAAAUGUAAAUAGUUCCAUUUGUAAUAAAUGUUGUUGCAACUGACAUAAAUUACAUUUGGCACUUGAGGCUGGCUCAUAUUCAAUUUGCAAAUAUGAAAAACAUUUCUACCUUGUCAUUUCCUUUUGCUUCUAAACAGCCCUUCCCUUGCUCUGUUUGUCCUAUAUUUCUACAUUGUCAUUUCCUUUUGCUCCUAAACAACCCUUCCCUUGCUCUGUUUGUCCUAUGGCUAGACAAACUAGACUUCCUUUUCCUGACAGUACAAUAAGUACAUCUAGGUCUUUUUCAGUUGAUUCAUGUAGACACUUGGGGUCCUUAUCACACUCCAACUCUUUCUGGAUCUAGGUAUUUUCUUACAAUAGUUGAUGACUUUUCUAGAGCCACCUGGACACAUUUACUGGGGUCUAAAAGCAUUGGAUCUACGUAUUUUCUUACAAUAGUUUAUGACUUUUCUAGAGCCACCUGGACACAUUUACUGGGGUCUAAAAGCAAUGCUUUCUCCCUGCUUAAAUCCUUUUUAUAUAUGGUUAAAACGCAGUUUAAUGUUGUUGUCCAAACAGUUAGAAGUGACAAUGAUUUGGAAUUGGGGUCUAGCAUUGAUGAGGCAUCUUUCUUUACUCAACAAGGGAUUAUUCAUCAAAUAACUUGUCCCCAUACUCCUCAACAGAAUGGUGUUGUUGAAAGGUGAAAGUUGUAGAGCAUUACUUUUUCAAUCUGGUUUGCCCCUCUCUUUCUGGGGAGAUUGCUUGUUAACUGCCACAUAUCUACUUAAAAGAAUUCCCUCCAGGCUCCUUAAUAAUAAAUCUC